rnacentral:rRNA from 1 species
CCCUUAGAUGUUCUGGGCCGCACGCGCGCUACACUGAUGCAUUCAACGAGUUUCUUCCUGGUCCGAGAGGAAUGGGUAACCUUUUGAAAGUGCAUCGUGAUAGGGAUAGAUUAUUGCAAUUAUUGGUCUUCAACGAGGAAUUCCUAGUAGACGUAGUUCAUCAGACUGCAUCGAUUACGUCCCUGCCCUUUGUACACACCGCCCGUCGCUCCUACCGAUUGAAUGCUCAGGUGAGCCAUUCGGACUUUCAUCAUGCUGGUUUCCAGUUUUGAUGAAGGAAAGUCUUGCGAACCUUAUCAUUUAGAGGAAGGAGAAGUCGUAACA